rnacentral:rRNA from 1 species
GUGCCAGCAGCCGCGGUAAUGCGGAGGGUGCAAGCGUUAUCCGGAUUUAUUGGGUUUAAAGGGUCCGUAGGCGGAUGCGUAAGUCAGGGGUGAAAUCUCACAGCUCAACUGUGAAACUGCCAUUGAUACUGCGUGUCAUGAGUGAGGUUGAAGUAGCUGGAAUAAGUAGUGUAGCGGUGAAAUGCAUAGAUAUUACUUAGAACACCAAUUGCGAAGGCAGGUUACUAAGUCUCAACUGACGCUGAUGGACGAAAGCGUGGGGAGCGAGCAGGAUUAGAUACCCUGGUAGUCCACGCUGUAAACGAUGCUAACUCGUUUUUGGGGAUUUAUCUUCAGAGACUAAGCGAAAGUGAUAAGUUAGCCACCUGGGGAGUACGAACGCAAGUUUGAAACACAAAGGAAUUGACGGGGGCCCGCACAAGCGGUGGAUUAUGUGGUUUAAUUCGAUGAUACGCGAGGAACCUUACCAAGGCUUAAAUGGGAAUUGAUCGGUUUAGAAAUAGACCUUCCUUCGGGCAAUUUUCAAGGUGCUGCAUGGUUGUCGUCAGCUCGUGCCGUGAGGUGUUAGGUUAAGUCCUGCAACGAGCGCAUCCCCUGUCACUAGUUGCCAUCAUUCAGUUGGGGACUCUGGUGAGACUGCCUACGCAAGUAGAGAGGAAGGUGGGGAUGACGUCAAAUCAUCACGGCCCUUACGCCUUGGGCCACACACGUAUUACAAUGGCCGGUACAGAGGGCAGCUACACAGCGAUGUGAUGCAAAUCUCGAAAGCCGGUCUCAGUUCGGAUUGGAGUCUGCAACUCGACUCUAUGAAGCUGGAGUCGCUAGUAAUCGCGCAUCAGCCAUGGCGCGGUGAAUACGUUCCCGGGCCUUGUACACACCGCCCGUCAAGCCAUGGGAGUCUGGGGUACCUGAAGUCGGUGACCGUAAAAGGAGCUGCCUAGGGUAUAACAGGUAACUAGGGCUAAGUCGUAACAAGGUAGCC